CCUACGGGAGGCAGCAGUGGGGAAUUUUGGACAAUGGGCGAAAGCCUGAUCCAGCAAUGCCGCGUGCAGGAAGAAGGCCUUCGGGUUGUAAACUGCUUUUGUACGGAACGAAAAGGUCUGCCUUAAUACGGUGGGCCCAUGACGGUACCGUAAGAAUAAGCACCGGCUAACUACGUGCCAGCAGCCGCGGUAAU
rnacentral:rRNA from 1 species